UACAGAGGUCUCAAGCGUUGUUCGGAAUUACUGGGCGUAAAGGGCUCGUAGGCGGCCAACUAAGUCGGACGUGAAAUCCCUCGGCUUAACCGGGGAACUGCGUCCGAUACUGGAUGGCUUGAGAUUGGGAGAGGGAUGCGGAAUUCCAGGUGUAGCGGUGAAAUGCGUAGAUAUCUGGAGGAACACCGGUGGCGAAGGCGGCAUCCUGGACCGGCAUUGACGCUGAGGAGCGAAAGCCAGGGGAGCAAACGGG
rnacentral:rRNA from 1 species